UGCUUUGACCCACUAGCUGUGCUGUA
rnacentral:piRNA from 1 species